CCCUCAAAAAAUUGCCAAUAUAAAACUGUCUUCCUAUCCCGGACUGCAAAAUGGCCUUUGAACGCAUGUUCUACUCAACUGGAUCCUCUCGUGGCUUCCGCUUCCAUGAAUUACCUUCUGAUACUAGUGAUCAAGUGACUCGAACAAAGCAUCUAGCUGUUUGGAGAUUGCCUGGUGAUGGGUUUGUGAUUGGGAGGUUUCCAGGAAAAUAGAUGGGGAGAUAAGAUCCUAUUCCAUGCUCACUUUUCCCACGACUCCAUUGUUUUGCUGCAAUAGUGGUGUACAGGAUGACAAGUUUUGCUUCGAAUCAGGUCCAAAUUCUAGUUUAGAGUCAUUUUUUAUGUUAUACGCUCUAUGACAAUUCUAGUUUAGGAAUUUGUGGUUUGAAAGGAAAAUGGGUUUUCAAUUUUUAGGGAUUUUUAACGAAGUGAGUUUUGAGGAUUUUGGUAUUUGGCUUUGAUUAGGGAAUCGUUGACAUCUCCUUCUAUAGCUAUAGGUUGGUUUGUUCUUCGUGGGCAUUAUUUCCUGUGAAGUUCAUGAAUUCUGAUGGAUUUGGGUGCCAGUGGAGAAGAAGGCCACAACUGGUUACUCUUAUUUGGUAACUUUUCAAUCAAUUUUUGCGAAACUUGAGGUUCAAAUCAUGAUCCACUCUAAAUUUUGAAAUCAUCCUAUAACUUUGGCAAGAUUUCGCUAUUCAGUGGUGAUAGCCGGAGGUGGAGGUGGAGGUGGC
rnacentral:lncRNA from 1 species